UUAUUUUAUGCUUAGUGAGUCCAAGAUAUGUGAAGCUUAUACCUACUAGAGAUUUUGAGUUAUGAUGAUUGGUGAACUUAUUUCGAAUUCUGCUGCCUUUUAAACUAUUCUUGGUAUGUGUGUGUAUAUUUUUUUUAUGUUAUUGAUAAUUUCUUGAUUGUUACUCCACUUUCAGACGAGUCAAUCCUUCUGUUUUUCUUUUGUGCGAUUGGAAUUUCUAGGGCCCAAUGAAAUAAUAUCUUUCUAUGAGAACUGAUUCUGGUAACCAGUGGAAUGGGGGCGGCUAUUAUGGAAGGCAAAAUUAUGGAGGAUAUGGAUAUGGCGCAUCACAAAAUCGGGAUUCGGUAUGUAUGUCGCGACUUAUGGAGCAUCCUCUAAUGGCUAUGGUAAUCACCAACGACCGCUAGCUAAGCUCUAACGGACUCGUUGCUAAUUGAGAGAUUGCCAAAACACUCUUUUUUCUCUUUGGGGGGGGGGGGGGGUUCAAAUUUAAGUCUACUUAAAAAGAUUAAAAGCAUAGUGUUUGAUGAGAAUUUUGUAGCUGGAUUUAUUUUAUGCUUAGUGAGUCCAAGAUAUGUGAAACUUAUACCUACUAGAGAUUUUGAGUUAUGAUGAUUGGUGAACUUAUUUCGAA